GGAAGUUCCAGAGAGGGACGGCAGGCAGGUCCCAACCCUUUCAGGAUAUUUGACUCCUCCUCUUUUCAGUGGAAGAAAUCACUUGCUACAGAGAGCAGAAUAGAAAGGGGGCAGGCAAGCUUCCAAAUGUGUGAACAGGAAAAACAGGUGCUUUUUUAGAGUUAAUUGAGAGCCCAGCCUGAAACACAUCAGGGCAGAGGUAGAGGAGAAAUUCUCUUCUAUUGGUGCCUCAUGAAAGAUGUUGAGACUAGUGGAGAGAUGACUUUGAGGGAAGGAAAG